UCCCGGGUAGCUCAGUGGUAGAGCAAAUCCCUGUUAAGGAUAAGGUCGUAGGUUCGAUCCCUACCCCGGGAG
rnacentral:tRNA from 1 species